rnacentral:rRNA from 1 species
AUGUAUUAAUUAAAUCUAUUUGAUGUGGUUAUAUGAUGUUAUAUGAUAAUUAAAGUAAUUUUAAUGGAGUAUUUUUAGUAAUGUUUAUAGAAAAGAGAAAAGGGAUGGAUAGUGGGAAAGUACCUGUAGGGGAAAGAUGAAAUAGGUGAAAUAGUUAUUGGAUUAGAAGAAGAAUAAUAUUUGUACCCUGGGUAUCAGGGUUUUUUAAAUAAUGAUAAUGAUUUAUAAGUCCCGAAUUAAAAAGAGUGAAGAUAGUGGAAUAGUUAAUGUGGUAAUAUUAUUAUAAAAAUUAUUUUGGAAAUGAAACGUUAAACGUUUUUUAAGUUAUCUGGUUUUUUAAGAGAUGAAUUUAAUUCAUAUUAUUAAGAGUAGAUAUUGAUUUAUUAUCAAUAAUUAUUUUUAAUAUUAAAUGUAUAAGGGGAUAAGCUCUUAUAAAUUGGUUAUAAAUUAUGGGGGAAUAGAAGAAGUUGUAGGCUUUAAAUUAGCUAUCUAUAAAAUAAUGUUAUAAAUUGUUUUGUUAGUAAAGUUAUUUUUUAAUGAUUUUAAUUAGUUUAUUAAAAUAUUAUAUUUAAUAAUUAAGUAUAAGUGAUAAUGAUAAAAUGAGUAUAUGAAGUUGUUAAUAUAAGUGAAUAUGAAAAAAAUUUAUAAUAAGGAAUUAGGCAAAUUAUCAUCCGCCUGUUUAUCAAAAACAUCUCCUUKUGUAUUUAUGUAAGGUUCGGCCUGCCCACUGAUAAUAUUGAAGGGCCGCGGUAUUAUGACCGUGCAAAGGUAGCAUAAUCAUUAGUCUUUUAAUUGAAGGCUGGAAUGAAUGGUUUGACGAGGUGAUAACUGUCUCAUUAUAACAUUUAGAAGUUAACUUUUAAGUUAAAAGGCUUAAAUUUUAAUAUAGGACGAGAAGACCCUAUASAGCUUAUAUAUAUAAGUAUAAGUUUAUGUUGUGGUAGUGUAGAUGAACUUAUAUUGUUUAUAUUGUGUUGGGGUGACAAAAAGAUAUAAGAAACUCUUUAUAUUAGGAACAUUAAUGUAUGGAUAAUUGAUCCAUUUUUAGUGAUCAUAAGAUUAAGUUACCUUAGGGAUAACAGCGUAAUUUUCUUUGAGAGUUCAUAUCAACAGGGAAGAUUGCGACCUCGAUGUUGGAUUAAGGAAUAUAUUUAGAUGCAGUAGUUUAAUUUAUAGGUCUGUUCGACCUUUAAAUCCUUACAUGAUCUGAGUUCAGACCGGCGUGAGCCAGGUCGGUUUCUAUCCUUAUUGAAAUUUUAUAUUUUAGUACGAAAGGACCAAAUAUUUUAAAUAUUUUAUAUUAAAUUAUGAUUAUUAAUA